rnacentral:rRNA from 1 species
AUUGAACGCUGGCGGCAUGCCUAACACAUGCAAGUCGAACGGCAGCACGGCAGUAGCAAUACUGUGGGUGGCGAGUGGCGGACGGGUGAGGAAUACGUCGGAAUCUGCCCAGUCGUGGGGGAUAACUAGCCGAAAGGUUAGCUAAUACCGCAUACGACCGAGAGGUGAAAGCGGGGGGACCGCAAGGCCUCGCGCGAUUGGAUGAGCCGACGUCGGAUUAGCUAGUUGGUGGGGUAAAGGCCCACCAAGGCGACGAUCCGUAGCUGGUCUGAGAGGAUGAUCAGCCACACUGGAACUGAGACACGGUCCAGACUCCUACGGGAGGCAGCAGUGGGGAAUAUUGGACAAUGGGCGCAAGCCUGAUCCAGCAAUGCCGCGUGUGUGAAGAAGGCCUCGGUGUAAG